CACUCCUCCUUUGAGACACUGCCUUUAUGAAUAAGGAAUGCUGUUGUAAAGUCUAGUUACAGCAGGUGUUUACUGCCAUCUAGUGGAAGAUACCAAUAAAACACUUUAUUAUCAGGGUGGGGAGACGGCUGAGUGCAGGAUCCAUGGUGAGAUGACAAAAGAGGAAAACACACUAUAUGGAGAGAAGUACAAAUAAAGUAUUUCUGAACAAUAAAGGACAGAGUAAGAUAAUGAAUACCUGGAAUUACAUAUUAUUACUAGUUAGUAGAUCUCUUCUGUCAUCAUUAUUUAACCAUACACCAGUGACGUGCGAAUUGACGUGUUUCCUCAUAUGAAAGUGAAAGUAACUGUGGUUACAAAAUGUAGCGCACAUUUCUCUGCAACAUUAGAAGCAGGAUAAAUGUGUUGAUUUGAAGGACAGACGGGCAGACUCUGGAUCCAUUUUGAGAUGACAGAGCAGAAAACACUAUAUGGACAAUACUGACAAAUAAAGGGAAGCCUGGGCAACUGAAAUGUCUGAGCUUUUUCAACAGUGUAACUAUGAACAUCUGUACCAAAACCAAAUGAAGGGAGACAUAGAUAUGAUUAAAAAACAACUGUUGAUGCGACAUGAAAAAAGAUGGGUGGAGGAGAUGAAUCAUAAACCCAAAUUGAGAACCUUUUGUUUGAUUCAGGGUGAAUUGGUGUGUGAGAGAUAUAUUAUGUAUAACCUACCUAAAAGCAAGAGAUCUCUAUGUGCACAGGGAAGAUCAGGGAUAUUGUCUCUGUGUAUUGAAACAGGUCAGAUCAGGGAUAUUGCCUCUGCGUAUUGAAACAGGUCAGAUCAGGGAUAUUGUCUCUGCGUAUUGAAACAGUUCAGAUCAGGGAUAUUUCAUCUGCGUAUUGAAACAGUUCAGAUCAGGGAUAUUGUCUCUGCGUAUUGAAACAGUUCAGAUCAGGGAUAUUUCCUCUGAGUAUUGAAACAGGUCAGAUCAGGGAUAUUGUCUCUGAGUAUUGAAACAGGUCAGAUCAGGGAUAUUGUCUCUGCGUAUUGAAACAGGUUAUUUCAGGGAUAUUGUCUCUGUGUAUUGAAACAGGUACGAUCAUGGAUAUUGCCUCUGAGUAUUGAAACAGGUAAGAUCAGGGAUAUUUUCUCUGAGUAUUGAAACAGGUAAGAUCAGGGAUAUUUUCUCUGAGUAUUGAUACAGGUCAGUAUUGUGGUGAAAUGGAGGAAAGACUAUGUAACUAUUGUGACCUUAAAGAAAUAGAGAAUUAAACUGAUUUAAUCCUCUAUUUCCUUUUCUACCAUGACAUACGCUUGCUCUUAUUCCAGAAAGACCACCAGAUAUACCCUGGCAGUAUGUGAUGAGUGAUGAGGAGAAAUUGAAAUGUUUUUUUUGUCCAUUGUGUAUUUCCGUUUGUGGAAUAUUUAGAUAAAUCCUGGAAUAUAAGAAAAAUGUUUACCUAUAAUUAAAUUGUAAAAAUAUUUAGCUUCUGCGUGGUAAAUGGUACAUGUGUAUAUAGAUUGUGUAUAGACUUGUCUCCCAUAUGACUCUUCUAUGUGGUAAAUGGUACGUGUAUAUAUAGAUUGUGUAUAGACUUGUCUCCCAUAUGAGUCUUCUAUGUGGUAAAUGGUAUGUGUGUAUAUAGAUUGUGUAUAGACUUGUCUCCCAUAUGAGUCUUCUAUGUGGUAAAUGGUAUGUGUAUAUAUAGAUUGUGUAUAGACUUGUCUCCCAUAUGAAUCUUCUAUGUGGUAAAUGGUACAUGUGUAUAUAGAUUGUGUAUAGACUUGUCUCCCAUAUGAGUCUUCUAUGUGGUAAAUGGUAUGUGUAUAUAUAGAUUGUGUAUAGACUUGUCUCCCAUAUGAGUCUUCUAUGUGGUAAAUGGUAUGUGUAUAUAGAUUGUGUAUAGACUUGUCUCCCAUAUGAAUCUUCUAUGUGGUAAAUGGUACAUGUGUAUAUAUAGAUUGUGUAUAGGCUUGUCUCCCAUAUGAAUCUUCUCUUUGUGUCAGACUGGGUUCAAAUUCCUUCUGUUUAUUUUUUUCUGUAUUUAUUUAUCUGUAUAUGUUAUGUAUGUAUAUAUAUACAGUAUGUAUAUAUGUAUGUAUGUGUAUAUAUACAGUGUGUAUGUAUGUAUGUGUAUAU